CUCGCUGUGGGAGCACAGUAGUCUUGCAGAGAGUAGUUUACAAUAGAACAGACCUAGAGCGGCCCACGUUAGACGAUGGGCAUCCAACCUUUGGCCACUGCUAUAUUUCUGAUGUCUGUAGCAUCUCUGACAAACUCAAUUCGCAAGUACCAGUCGCUGAACACUAGUCCGUAUCAGCAGAACGAGUACGCCUACUGGAACGCCUACAAUCCUCAAGGAUGGUAUACGCAUGACCAUGGCAGCUAUCACUUGCCGUUUUCCUUUAACCAUCCCAAAAUUGGAGGCAAUUGGGUCAUUGGGCCAAGAACUGACCGGAGCUGUUGCGCAGUGUGCCUUUGAGGAAAUCUUACCAGCGUAAGGCCAACCAGUGGUGACCGUAAGCGGUAUGACUGAAAUGUUGCAGUCAUGGAAGAAUUGACACUGCAGAUUGGCAAAUAAAACACUCUUCUGUUCCAUU